rnacentral:rRNA from 1 species
GAUGAACGCUGGCGGCGUGCCUAAUACAUGCAAGUCGAGCGAACAGAUGAGAAGCUUGCUUCUCUGAUGUUAGCGGCGGACGGGUGAGUAACACGUGGGUAACCUACCUAUAAGACUGGGAUAACUCCGGGAAACCGGGGCUAAUACCGGAUAAUAUUUUGAACCGCAUGGUUCAAUAGUGAAAGACGGUUUCGGCUGUCACUUACAGAUGGACACGCGCCGUAUUAGCUAGUUGGUAAGGUAACGGCUUACCAAGGCGACGAUACGUAGCCUACAUGAGAGGGUGAUCGGCCACACUGGAACUGAGACACGGUCCAGACUCCUACGGGAGGCAGCAGUAGGGAAUCUUCCGAAAUGGGCGAAAGCCUGACGGAGCAACGCCGCGAGAGUGAUGAGGGUCUUCGGAUCGUAAAACUCUGUUGUUAGGGAAGAACAAAUUUGUUAGUAACUGAACAAAUCUUGACGGUACCUAACCAGAAAGCCACGGCUAACUACGUGCCAGCCGCCGCAGUAA